rnacentral:rRNA from 1 species
CGAGCGAACUGAUUAGAAGCUUGCUUCUAUGACGUUAGCGGCGGACGGGUGAGUAACACGUGGGCAACCUGCCUGUAAGACUGGGAUAACUUCGGGAAACCGAAGCUAAUACCGGAUAGGAUCUUCUCCUUCAUGGGAGAUGAUUGAAAGAUGGUUUCGGCUAUCACUUACAGAUGGGCCCGCGGUGCAUUAGCUAGUUGGUGAGGUAACGGCUCACCAAGGCAACGAUGCAUAGCCGACCUGAGAGGGUGAUCGGCCACACUGGGACUGAGACACGGCCCAGACUCCUACGGGAGGCAGCAGUAGGGAAUCUUCCGCAAUGGACGAAAGUCUGACGGAGCAACGCCGCGUGAGUGAUGAAGGCUUUCGGGUCGUAAAACUCUGUUGUUAGGGAAGAACAAGUACGAGAGUAACUGCUCGUACCUUGACGGUACCUAACCAGAAAGCCACGGCUAACUACGUGCCAGCAGCCGCGGUAAUACGUAGGUGGCAAGCGUUAUCCGGAAUUAUUGGGCGUAAAGCGCGCGCAGGCGGUUUCUUAAGUCUGAUGUGAAAGCCCACGGCUCAACCGUGGAGGGUCAUUGGAAACUGGGGAACUUGAGUGCAGAAGAGAAAAGCGGAAUUCC